GACAGAGGAUGCAAGCGUUAAUCGGAUUUAUUGGGCGUAAAGGGGGCGUAGGCGGGAAAGAAAGUCAGCCGUGAAAGCCCGAGGCUCAACCUCGGAACAGCGUUUGAAACUUCUUUUCUUGAGGGUAGGCGGAGAAAACAGAAUUCCACAAGUAGCGGUGAAAUGCGUAGAUAUGUGGAAGAAUACCGGUGGCGAAGGCGGUUUUCUAGCUUAUUCCUGACGCUAAGGCCCGAAAGCUAGGGGAGCAAACAGG
rnacentral:rRNA from 1 species